GGCCGCGGGAAUUCCCCUCAGACCUAACGCAUGCAAGUCGAACGGGGUAAAAUAUUCGGAGAUUACUUAGUGGCGAACGGGUGAGUAACGCGUGAGAAACCUGCCUUUCAGUGGGGGACAACAGUUGGAAACGACUGCUAAUACCGCAUAACACUUUAGUACCGCAUGGUACAGAAGUCAAAGCUUAAUGUGCUGAAAGAUGGUCUCGCGUCUGAUUAGCUAGAUGGCGGGGUCCCGGCCCACCAUGGCGAAAAACAGUAGCCGGUCUUUUUGGGGGAACGGCCACAUUGGGACUGAGAUA
rnacentral:rRNA from 1 species